rnacentral:misc_RNA from 1 species
GAUGAAGAACGCAGCGAAAUGCGAUAAGUAAUGCGAAUUGCAGAAUUCAGUGAAUCAUCGAAUCUUUGAACGCACAUUGCGCCCGCUAGUAUUCUGGCGGGCAUGCCUGUCUGAGCGUCAUUUCAACCCUCGCCCCCGGCUUUUGCUGGGAGCGGUGUUGGGGAUCGGCCGCCCGUCACUGGGAGGCCGGCCCCGAAAUAGAGUGGCGACCACGCCGUGUGCUCCUCUGCGUAGUAGUAAAUCACCUCGCAGGCGGACAGCGGUGCGGCCUGACGUAAAACCCCCAACUCUUUCUGGUUGACCUCAGAUCAGGUAGGAAUACCCGCUGAACUUAAGCAUAUCAAUAAGCGGAGGA